rnacentral:snRNA from 1 species
GUACUUUGACAGCACAUAUACUAAAACUGGAACAAUAUAGAGAAGAUUAGCAUGGUCUCGUGCAAAGAUAACACAUAUGAGACAUUUCAUAUUUUU